rnacentral:lncRNA from 1 species
GAUAACAUUAAAAUGACCCCUACGACGUAAGUAUCGCUAUAUCACCUCUCUUUUUCUUUGUAAUUUGAGUUUUGGAAGGUACUUCAUAGUUAAUAAAACUUGUAUUUUCUGUAUUUAAGUAUUUAAAUAUCAAUGAAGGUUGAUAAAUUUGUUUCCUGAUAGUUAGAACUCACGGGACGGUGAUCGAAAGCCAUGAGUUUGAGUUAUUCACUUGUAGCGGACUGUUUUGUGGAUUGUUUUUUGUUGCUGUUGAGCUGCAUGUUUUACUAAAUUUUUAUGGAGUUUUGGAGGAUUAAGGUUGUGUAGAAACACCACAUAAAUGCAAGAUGGUGGGCUGGUCGUUAGUUGUAACAUUUUUGGGCCGUUUGACACUACUAUGGUGGUCGUUUUGUGUAUGAAGAGAUUGGGGUGUGUUGGGCUGUUUUGUAGUAUUUUGUGGUGUAUAUAAGGUUGGAAAAUAAUGUAUACAUGUUGAUAUUGUUGUGUUGGUGUUAUCUUGAAUUUGAAGGAAGUAAGAAUUAUAGGGGAGAUGCUGCCCGUUUUAAUACAAAAUAAGCAUGUCGUUCGUUAUGCGAUAGUUGUGCCUUUCAUAACUUAAUGAUAGUAUUAUUAUUGUUGUUGUAGAUUAAGGUAUGAAGAUUCGAGUUACACUUGGUGAUUGGAAAGAUUGUGAUAAGGUAUGUUAAGGCUAUCCCUUCUUUCUUUUGGCAUGAUCCAUACGAUACAAACGAAACGAGCAAAUGCACAACUUCCAUAAAUGACUCUAUUCAUAGAAAUGCUAGAGAUGCUUAUGCUCUUGAUUCCCCAUGUGUCCUAUUAUUCUAUAAUCUGUUCAUAGGUCUCAGAAAAAACGUAAGUUGAUAAAGUUCACUUCUUGAUAUUAAUCAAAGGCAUAGUGGUCUUAUGACAUUCUGAAAGAUUUUAUUGACGUACUUCUCAUGCAUUGCAUUCAUUUAUACAUGUACAUUGACCCAUGACCAGAUGGCGUUAUAUACGCAUAUAUAUGUAUAUAUAUGUAUAUGGGAUAUGGCAAAAGGUUACGGUGUUAUAUACGCACCACCACCUGAUCAGCUAGUAUACGUUGAUGAUUUGCCCACAGUGGCCGAGAUGAUAUGAUGGGAUGCCCUCAGAGGCUUGAUGAUGUUAUGAACGCAUAUACCUAAGCAUGGUAUGACAUUUAUACACAUAUGCAUGACAUUGUAAAUAUUAAUGAUUCACAAAGUUAUUCAGACAUGCAUGUCGAAUCCUUUACUCCAUGUUUCUCUCAUGUCUAUUGCUUACUGAUUUUCAUUCCUUACAUACUCGAUACAUUAUUCGUAUUGACGUCCCUUUGUCGGGGGACUCUGUGUUUCAUUCCCGCAAGUCCCGAUAAACAGGUUGAGAGUCCUCCAAGUAGGCUAUCAGCUCAGCGAAAGGUGUUGGUGCGCUCCAUUUGCUCCGGAGUUGCUUAUGUGGUCAGUAUGAUUAGGACAUGUAUUGAUUAGUAUGGCGUGGCCCUGUCCCGACCUUUAUGACAUUUAUGUACUCUUAGAGGCUUGUAGACAUAUGUUAUGUACGUGAAAGAUUGUAUGGCCUUGUCGCCC